rnacentral:rRNA from 1 species
UGGGGAAUAUUGCACAAUGGGCGCAAGCCUGAUGCAGCCAUGCCGCGUGUAUGAAGAAGGCCUUCGGGUUGUAAAGUACUUUCAGCGGGGAGGAAGGCGAUAAGGUUAAUAACCUUGUCGAUUGACGUUACCCGCAGAAGAAGCACCGGCUAACUCCGUGCCAGCAGCCGCGGUAAUACGGAGGGUGCAAGCGUUAAUCGGAAUUACUGGGCGUAAAGCGCACGCAGGCGGUCUGUCAAGUCGGAUGUGAAAUCCCCGGGCUCAACCUGGGAACUGCAUUCGAAACUGGCAGGCUAGAGUCUUGUAGAGGGGGGUAGAAUUCCAGGUGUAGCGGUGAAAUGCGUAGAGAUCUGGAGGAAAACCGGUGGCGAAGGCGGCCCCCUGGACAAAGACUGACGCUCAGGUGCGAAAGCGUGGGGAGCAAACA